AGCCAAUGGCUAUAAAAAUAAAUUGGUUAACCUACGAAAUAUACCUACAUUCAUAAUAUGGAAUUGAAUUAAUCACCCAAUUAAAAUGCAAUUAUAAUGUUCUGGAAUGUCCAUUUUAUCACUUAUCCUAAACUCCAUUGUUUAGCUAAACGACAUUAUUAGAAUGAUGUUAAUAAUACGUAGUUUCAAAUGGUGUGUGUUUUUGAUACUUGGUAAUUACUAAGCACCUAAGUAUUUAUCAAAAAAACACUUGAAAGGAAUGUCUCACCCGCGUUAAGAUAAUACGUUCAAAAACAAGUUAUUCUUUGGCGGCCCAUUCACGCUAGCUGACCCGGCACCCGGCAGCCAGCUCUGUGUACGGUAGAAACGCAUGGCGUCUUAACCGGGACAGACGCUUACCUCAUUUUCAUUUAAUUUACUUUUUAUUUCGUCCGCAACUUUUCAAACACGCCCAAGAAAAAACGCGGCAAUAAAACUUUAAAUUUCCGAACGUUUCUCCUGGCUCUACAGAGGGGAAUCCUUGUCAUAUCAAUUUAAAAAAUAACUUUAAGGUGCUUCUUUGUCCGCCUUCUUACGUGUUUACUAAAUUUAAACUUUUCUAGUUAAUCCUAAUUAGUGGAUUACGAUAUAAUUGUGGUUUCAAGUGAUAUUUUUGGUAGUGUGUCAGUAGUUUUUGUACAAAAUGAAUGGUGUUGUGGUGGAUUCUGAACGUGUGAAGGAAACGGCGGGAACUCUUGAGAGGUAAUAAACUAUGAACAAUCCAUGUACAAGUUUCUAUAAGUGGUCUCGCGAGAACACAAAACUAAUGCCGACGCGGAUAACAAAACCAGCAACCGUAUUCUACAGAGUGUUGCAAAAAUGGUAUAGA